rnacentral:rRNA from 1 species
UAGGGAAUCUUCGGCAAUGGGGGGAACCCUGACCGAGCAACGCCGCGUGAGUGAAGAAGGUUUUCGGAUCGUAAAGCUCUGUUGUUAAGGAAGAACGAGUGUGAGAAUGGAAAGUUCAUACUGUGACGGUAGUUAACCAGAAAGGGACGGCUAACUACGUGCCAGCAGCCGCGGUAAUACGUAGGUCCCGAGCGUUGUCCGGAUUUAUUGGGCGUAAAGCGAGCGCAGGCGGUUAGAAAAGUCUGAAGUGAAAGGCAGUGGCUCAACCAUUGUAGGCUUUGGAAACUGUUUAACUUGAGUGCAGAAGGGGAGAGUGGAAUUCCAUGUGUAGCGGUGAAAUGCGUAGAUAUAUGGAGGAACACCGGUGGCGAAAGCGGCUCUCUGGUCUGUAACUGACGCUGAGGCUCGAAAGCGUGGGGAGCGAACAGG